AUGGAGCGACAUGCAGUAAACAGCAAUACCUCACCACAGAAUACUGGUUUAGAGAGUGGACAGAUUCUGCAGCAGGAAAGGGGUUAUGCCUUGAUGUUUCAAGUCAGUAGAGGCCUGUUAAAUCACACCAAAUGACAACAAAUCAUUGUCCAAGCUGUCCCUGAGGGACAAGGCUAAACCAUCCUACAAGUAUCUAUGUUUGGGACACAGCCUUGUAGCAGAUAUAGUUGGUCUUGUGGAAAUAGAUCGAGGUCUGGGGGAAAAAAAGUGGAGGAUAGAGAUACAGAGGGAAAGACUUUACAGGUUCAGGGCCAACAAGACCAGACUCAGAAGAUUGUCAUCCAGCACGUGCAGACAGCCCUCACCACCAGCCAGACACACAAAGAAGCAGAUUGCUAUCCAAGGGCAGCAAGUAGGACAGAUCAUGGUCUACCAGCCAGUUAAUGCAGAUGGCAACAUUCUCCAGCGAGUCACAGCCACCAUCUCAGCAGCCACUUUGACAGUGGCAUAGACUUUUCAGACAGCAAGCCAAUACCAACACAACCAGCAGUGGGCAAGGAACCAUCACUGUAACACUACCAGUGGCAGAUUAUGUGGUCACUUAAGGAGAGACAGUCAUGAUGGUGCCUGGGCUGUCUCUGUGACUGCCACCCAAAGAAUCUCUCACCUGGAACAGAGAUAGAAAGACAGCCUCCCAAUGUGAAUGUGGAUAACAACUAGUGACAUCAUCUUUGUUAAGAGGAUGUAAGCCUGGGCUGAACUAGAGGUACAAGGAACAUUCCUAAGGGAAAAAAAAAAAAAAAUAUAUAUAUAUAUAUAUAUAUAUAUAUAUAUAUCUGCAUAAUUCGUGGUAUGGCAUAAAAGUGUGGCAGAGUUGAAUGUUUUUUUUUCCCAAAAUAAAAGAAUAGUCUCCAUAUGCAGGUUGCAGACCAAGUAAAUGCAGCAGCAAUGGCAUGCAGAAUUUGAGUGUUC
rnacentral:lncRNA from 1 species